UACGAAGGGGGCUAGCGUUGCUCGGAAUCACUGGGCGUAAAGGGCGCGUAGGCGGCCAAGUAAGUUGGGGGUGAAAGCCCGUGGCUCAACCACGGAAUUGCCUUCGAUACUGCUUGGCUUGAGACCGGAAGAGGUGAGUGGAACUGCGAGUGUAAGAGGUGAAAUUCGUAGAUAAUUCGCAAGAACACCAGUGGCGAAGGCGGCUCACUGGUCCGGAUCUG
rnacentral:rRNA from 1 species